GUUUCAUGUAGAGACCACAGGCGUUACAGACCGGCUCUCCCUCUGCGUUCCGUCGCCACAGUGUGGUGGUGGUGGUGUGACAGUUGGUGCAGGACAGGCCCACCCUCCUGGAGGCAGACUGCAACAGAGUGAACAUGGGGGCUCAGGAGCCGGGGGAUUUGCAGCCAAUCCCAGCUGUCAACGAGCAAGGACAGGAUACUGCAGUAUCUGAAGUAAUCUGAAGUACAUGAGGAGAAUAUGUGAAAUCCAUCAAAGGGUAGAUCAGCAGAUAAUUUGAUCAACAACGAUUGAAUCAUCUGUAAAGCAGUGUGAUUAGGAGCAGACAUCAUCAUCAACCUGCAGCUGUACAGCAAACACAGGUAAAGGCCCAGGUUUCUGAUGAGGGAUUGGGACGAUACCAAACUAAAGUCACACCACUGGAAAACUGACCCCGAAAAUCAGCCAAAAUCAAUGCGUGGUGAAAUCCCUCCCUCUUUAAUCCUCUGUAGGCCAGAGUCUGACCGACAACCUGCAGCUGUACAGGCCAAAUGUAUGCACAUCAAAUUAGGGUUGACUCGAUUAAUCAGUGGCUGAAUUAUCAACUAUGUUUUAAUCAUCAGGUUGUCAAUUUGACACGUUUGUUAUACAGAUUAAAACAACUUAUUUGGUUUCAGCCUGAAUAAUUGGAGCAGAAACACAGAUCACCAGUUUCCCAACUGUGGGAUUUUAAUUAUUAUUACGUAAACUUGUGUUUUAUUGAUUUAUUUUAGGUUGGUCAACAACCCCUAAAACAAAAUAUUCUUUUAGGUUUUAAGGUAAAAAAAGGGUUGUUUCUUGAACCAAAUUGUU